CCUACGGGAGGCAGCAGUGGGGAAUAUUGCACAAUGGGGGAAACCCUGAUGCAGCAACGCCGCGUGAGCGAUGAAGGCCUUCGGGUCGUAAAGCUCUGCCCUAAGGGAAGAUUUAGACGGUACCUUAGGAGGAAGCCCCGGCUAAUCUAUCGUGCCAGCAGCCGCGGNAAUGUCAAGCUUAUCGAUA
rnacentral:rRNA from 1 species